CUUCACCCUAUUCACUUCGCUUGGUCUGAACUUUCUCAGAUUGAAGUGCCAGUUCACCCUAUCAGAACACUUACCAUUAAGUAAACAGUAAAAGCUUCAUGUAUAUAUAAUUAUAUAUACCAGUGAGCUAUGGACAGCCAAGGCCGGAUUGGACCAUAUCCAAGAAUGAUUGCUUUUCGCAGAACCGGAGAUGAAUCAAACUCCUCUGGUGGAACUGGUUGCCAAGCU